rnacentral:rRNA from 1 species
CAUUCGGUGGGGAUUAGUGGCGAACGGGUGAGUAACACGUGGGCAAUCUGCCCUGCACUCUGGGACAAGCCCUGGAAACGGGGUCUAAUACCGGAUACUGACCCGCUUGGGCAUCCAAGCGGUUCGAAAGCUCCGGCGGUGCAGGAUGAGCCCGCGGCCUAUCAGCUUGUUGGUGAGGUAAUGGCUCACCAAGGCGACGACGGGUAGCCGGCCUGAGAGGGCGACCGGCCACACUGGGACUGAGACACGGCCCAGACUCCUACGGGAGGCAGCAGUGGGGAAUAUUGCACAAUGGGCGAAAGCCUGAUGCAGCGACGCCGCGUGAGGGAUGACGGCCUUCGGGUUGUAAACCUCUUUCAGCAGGGAAGAAGCGAAAGUGACGGUACCUGCAGAAGAAGCGCCGGCUAACUACGUGCCAGCAGCCGCGGUAAUACGUAGGGCGCGAGCGUUGUCCGGAAUUAUUGGGCGUAAAGAGCUCGUAGGCGGCUUGUCACGUCGGUUGUGAAAGCCCGGGGCUUAACCCCGGGUCUGCAGUCGAUACGGGCAGGCUAGAGUUCGGU